GCAAACACUCAGAGCAACAAGGCUGCAAACUCACUGGGGAUUUUUACAUCUGUCCGGCCUCAUUGCUAUGCACAGAGCCCCGAGUCCAAUGUCUCUGCCUCCACCUGAGGGGCAGAGCGUGCUGGCUAUGAUAGCGCCCUGACAGAUUACCGCCUAAAACAGUGAGGAAGAGGCCUGCCAGCAACAGCUGUCCUUUAGCAUCGGAAAUGUUGAGCUCCCUUUGGACAGGGACUGAACAGGAAUGAGUCAACAGCGCUCUGCCCUGCAGUACUUGCUAACAUCUUGUAACUUUCUGAGCUCCAAAGCACUUCUCUUUUAUACUUCAGGAUUAGUCAAACAGUUGGAAUAUGUGUGGCAUUUUUUAUUUUUUUAUGCCGUCUGACGCUUGGAAAAAAAACGAAACAGUGAGUCAAAACUGCUGCUGAACCAGAGCGCUGCGCUAGCAGGCGGCUAUGCAAAUGAGGUCAGAGGAGAGGAAAGCAAACAAAUCUGUUAAUUGAUACCUCCUGUCAGUGGAGGGCCUGUGGGAUUACCUGCUACAAGUGAAGUGUCAUUGUCAGAGAGCUGGGACACACCGCAAGAGUUUAAAGUGCAGCUAAUGGGGCCAUCAGCAGCCAUCCUGUACAGGCUAAUGGCGGCCAUUUUGCGCCGCCCACGUCGUCGAGGACCAGGCAUUCACGGCAACCCGAGCGACCCGCUGCGACUCCCCUGUACAAGUGUACGGCCACUCCCAGUCAGAUGGCUCAUUCCCAACAGCCAGCGUGUCAGACGGGAGCACGCACAACGCCGGACGGAGGGGAAUGACGACGACAGGCACACCUGAUUUAAGGACAGGCCAGUCAGCAUAGUAAAGCCUGACAUGAGAGCUGAACCAGAGCAAAGCAAGAUGGCUGAAGGUGACUGGAAGCCCGAGCUCGUCGGGGGAUUUGAACGAGCGGCCUGGCAGGGAGCUGCUCUCUGCUGCUGACAACUGGUGAUGGUGACCAGGUGGGAUGUGUUAUCCUAACAGUCUGGAACUCUUGUGAAUUAUUUGCUGAUAGAUAUAAACAGCUGUUAUUGUUGGUAAUGGAAAGCAAUUAGAAACAUCUGCAUACUUGGCUGUGAGCGAUGCCUCAGGAUGGCGACCGCGGCUCCCAGGUGCCGCUGGGAAAUAAUUACAUCAUCGGGGCCGAGGCGGCGGGGCCGCUGCUGGUCUGUGAAGAGCGACAUAGAGUAGUCGGGGGAAAAAAAUGCAGAUAUUUGGAUUAACCAGAACCAGAAAAAGCUGCAAGUUGAUUAUAUUACAGCCAAUGUUGCACUCAAUGUCAUCCUGUCACUGCUUGCAAUUCUGGAGUUUAAUUUAAA